rnacentral:rRNA from 1 species
UACGUAGGGAGCAAGCGUUGUCCGGAAUCAUUGGGCGUAAAGCGCGCGUAGGUGGCCUCAUAAGUCCGUUGUGAAAGUCAAAGGCUCAACCUUUGAAAGCCGAUGGAUACUGUGAGACUAGAGUACGGAAGAGGCGAGUGGAAUUCCUGGUGUAGCGGUGGAAUGCGCAGAUAUCAGGAGGAACACCAAUAGCGAAGGCAGCUCGCUGGGACGUUACUGACACUGAGGCGCGAAAGCAUGGGGAGCGAACAGG